rnacentral:rRNA from 1 species
GAUGAACGCUGGCGGCGUGCCUAAUACAUGCAAGUCGAGCGAACAGACGAGGAGCUUGCUCCUCUGACGUUAGCGGCGGACGGGUGAGUAACACGUGGAUAACCUACCUAUAAGACUGGGAUAACUUCGGGAAACCGGAGCUAAUACCGGAUAAGAUAUUGAACCGCAUGGUUCAAUAGUGAAAGACGGUUUUGCUGUCACUUAUAGAUGGAUCCGCGCCGCAUUAGCUAGUUGGUAGGGUAACGGCUUACCAAGGCAACGAUGCGUAUCCGAACUGAGAGGGUGAUCGGCCACACUGGAACGGAGCCACGGUCCAGACUCCUGCGGGAGGCAGCAGUAGGGAAUCUUCGGCAAUGGGCGGAAGCCUGACGGAGCAGGGCCGAGUGAGUGAUGAAGGUCUUCGGAUCGUAAAACUCUGUUAUUAGGGAAGAACAAAUGUGUAAGUAACUAUGCACGUCUUGACGGUACCUAGUCAGAAAGCCACGGCUAACUACGUG